UAAGUUGAUAGUGAAAGCGUCCGGCUCAACCGGAUAUACAUUAUCAAACUGCUCAGCUAGAGGAUGAGAGAGGUUAUUGGAAUUCCUAGUGUAGGAGUGAAAUCCGUAGAUAUUAGGAGGAACACCGAUGGCGUAGGCAGAUAACUGGCUCAUUCCUGACACUAAGGCACGAAAGCGUGGUAGCAAACGGGAUUAGAUACCCCGGUAGUCCACGCUGUAAACGAUGGAUGCUA
rnacentral:rRNA from 1 species